AGUGAACUAGGUUAUGAAAGAGUACUGUUUGUUUUCAAAACAAAAGGGGGUGUUUUAAACAUCGUUUGCUG
rnacentral:tRNA from 1 species